UGGCGGAUAUAGAUCAUUGGUU
rnacentral:miRNA from 1 species